rnacentral:rRNA from 1 species
GCGUGCCUAAUACAUGCAAGUCGAGCGGACAGAUGGGAGCUUGCUCCCUGAUGUUAGCGGCGGACGGGUGAGUAACACGUGGGUAACCUGCCUGUAAGACUGGGAUAACUCCGGGAAACCGGGGCUAAUACCGGAUGGUUGUUUGAACCGCAUGGUUCAGACAUAAAAGGUGGCUUCGGCUACCACUUACAGAUGGACCCGCGGCGCAUUAGCUAGUUGGUGAGGUAACGGCUCACCAAGGCAACGAUGCGUAGCCGACCUGAGAGGGUGAUCGGCCACACUGGGACUGAGACACGGCCCAGACUCCUACGGGAGGCAGCAGUAGGGAAUCUUCCGCAAUGGACGAAAGUCUGACGGAGCAACGCCGCGUGAGUGAUGAAGGUUUUCGGAUCGUAAAGCUCUGUUGUUAGGGAAGAACAAGUGCCGUUCAAAUAGGGCGGCACCUUGACGGUACCUAACCAGAAAGCCACGGCUAACUACGUGCCAGCAGCCGCGGUAAUACGUAGGUGGCAAGCGUUGUCCGGAAUUAUUGGGCGUAAAGGGCUCGCAGGCGGUUUCUUAAGUCUGAUGUGAAAGCCCCCGGCUCAACCGGGGAGGGUCAUUGGAAACUGGGGAACUUGAGUGCAGAAGAGGAGAGUGGAAUUCCACGUGUAGCGGUGAAAUGCGUAGAGAUGUGGAGGAACACCAGUGGCGAAGGCGACUCUCUGGUCUGUAACUGACGCUGAGGAGCGAAAGCGUGGGGAGCGAACAGGAUUAGAUACCCUGGUAGUCCACGCCGUAAACGAUGAGUGCUAAGUGUUAGGGGGUUUCCGCCCCUUAGUGCUGCAGCUAACGCAUUAAGCACUCCGCCUGGGGAGUACGGUCGCA